rnacentral:misc_RNA from 1 species
AAGUCGUAACAAGGUUUCCGUAGGUGAACCUGCGGAAGGAUCCUUACCACGUAUCCAAACGUUAAAACCCCCCCCGUGACCCGCGAAGAACAGUUACAAUUCGAGCGGUAGUUCUAAAGGCCUUGUUUCCCCAAGCAGUCAGUGUCUGAAAUUGUCAGUGAUUGUGCAAGGAUAACGCUUCACGAUUCUUGUAGACCGCACCUCGCGGGCAGGAGCUAGGCCAAAGGGUCCCCAUGCCCCCUUACAACCCCACAGUUGAAUGUGAAGAACCAAAAAACUGUUAACAAUGGAUAUCUUGGUUCUC